UUAACGACUCUCGGCAACGGAUAUCUCGGCUCACGCAUCGAUGAAGAACGUAGCAAAAUGCGAUACUUGGUGUGAAUUGCAGAAUCCCGUGAACCAUCGAGUUUUUGAACGCAAGUUGCGCUCGAAGCCUUUUGGCUGAGGGCACGUCUGCCUGGGCGUCACAC
rnacentral:rRNA from 1 species